rnacentral:tRNA from 1 species
GAGGUAAAUGUAAGAGUGAAUGCUGCUAACUUAUCACUAUAGCGGUUAAAAUCCGUUUAUGCUUCU